rnacentral:rRNA from 1 species
GACGAACGCUGGCGGCGUGCUUAACACAUGCAAGUCGAACGGAAAGGCCCUGCUUUUGUGGGGUGCUCGAGUGGCGAACGGGUGAGUAACACGUGAGUAACCUGCCCUUGACUUUGGGAUAACUUCAGGAAACUGGGGCUAAUACCGGAUAGGAGCUCCUGCUGCAUGGUGGGGGUUGGAAAGUUUCGGCGGUUGGGGAUGGACUCGCGGCUUAUCAGCUUGUUGGUGGGGUAGUGGCUUACCAAGGCUUUGACGGGUAGCCGGCCCGAGAGGGUGACCGGCCACAUUGGGACUGAGAUACGGACCAGACUCCUACGGGAGGCAGCAGUGGAGAAUAUUGCACAAUGGGCGGAAGCCUGAUGCAGCAACGCCGCGUGCGGGAUGACGGCCUUCGGGUUGUAAACCGCUUUCGCCUGUGACGAAGCGUGAGUGACGGUAAUGGGUAAAGAAGCACCGGCUAACUACGUG